rnacentral:tRNA from 1 species
AUAAAAGCGUCCAGGGAUGGGAAUCGAACCCACAAUGUUCCGCUUACCGGGCAGAUGCCAUGUCCACUGAGCUACCCUUCA